rnacentral:rRNA from 1 species
CAGCCGCCGCGGGAAUACGUAGGGCGCGAGCGUUGUCCGGAAUUAUUGGGCGUAAAGAGCUCGUAGGCGGCUGGUCGCGUCUGUCGUGAAAUCCUCUGGCUUAACUGGGGGUUUGCGGUGGGUACGGGCCGGCUUGAGUGCGGUAGGGGAGACUGGAACUCCUGGUGUAGCGGUGGAAUGCGCAGAUAUCAGGAAGAACACCGGUGGCGAAGGCGGGUCUCUGGGCCGUUACUGACGCUGAGGAGCGAAAGCGUGGGGAGCGAACAGGAUUAGAUACCCGCGUAGUCCCUGUCUCUUAUAC